rnacentral:lncRNA from 1 species
GUCAAUUUGCUGCAAUGGCUCCUGCACCAGGGUUGGGUGGGUUCGCUGCACUGGCCGCGGAGCUAGAGCAUCUUCCGAGCUCCCGAGCAGGGGCUGACGGUGCUGCCAGCUGUCGUGCGGUACGGCCGGCAGAGAGCGGCCAGGAAGGAGACCGUGCCCUCUUCCGGGGGAGCAGAAGAAACGCGCGGGCUGUGCGAGGCGGCUCGCGGCUCUGGAGUGCCUGAGGGGCAGAGGGCGGCAAACGUUAACUGUAGGGGCUUUGCUGCGUUCCUCACACAUUCGUUUUUUUGUUUGUUUUUCGGAGAUGGAUUCGUGCUCUGUUGCCCAGGCUGGA